rnacentral:rRNA from 1 species
AUUGAACGCUGGCGGCAUGCUUUACACAUGCAAGUCGAACGGCAGCACAGGGAGCUUGCUCCCGGGUGGCGAGUGGCGCACGGGGUGAGUAAUACAUCGGAACGUGUCCUGUUGUGGGGGAUAACUGCUCGAAAGGGUGGCUAAUACCGCAUGAGACCUGAGGGUGAAAGCGGGGGAGUCGCAAGACCUCGCGCAAUUGGAGCGGCCGAUGCCCGAUUAGCUAGUUGGUGGGGUAAAGGCUCACCAAGGCGACGAUCGGUAGCUGGUCUGAGAGGACGACCAGCCACACUGGGACUGAGACACGGCCCAGACUCCUACGGGAGGCAGCAGUGGGGAAUUUUGGACAAUGGGGGCAACCCUGAUCCAGCCAUG